rnacentral:tRNA from 1 species
GCAUUCGUGGCCUACUGGUUGGGGCUUCGGGCUUGCAACCGGAGGGUUGCCGGUUCGAUCCCCUACCAGUAAU